UUAGCUUAAAUAUCACAGCCAUGGCUCUACCAUUUUCAGCAUAUUCACUGCACUGUCUCCAUAAUAAAUGGAGGAAGGUUUGAUUUAAACCUGAGGUGGCCUUUGGGAGCAUUUGCUGAAGAAAAUAAAUGAUAUUUUUACCUUCUAAACCCUCUCUAAUGCCUGGAAUAUGAGAAUUGUUUUUUGACCUGUUUUCCAGAUUCCCCCACUUUUUCCUCAUACUUUUUCAAUCUUGUUUCGCUUUUAAUCUCCUUUGUUUUAAUAGCAGCUCAUUUUCUAAGAGAAACCUGGAUUCAGUGUCCCACAGAUAGAAUAAACAUUUUGGGAGGUCACAUGACUGAUGAGGACAUCAAAAACCUUUGUGUCAAAGAAGCAGGAAUAUCAGUCCUUUGUAAUCCUUACUUCAAACUAUCUGACCUUUACAAUACUAUCACCAAUGAAAACUAUCCAUCUAGGAGUUUCUACUUCAGGUCAUGAUAUCUGAGACAGCAGAAAAAUUUCUGUUUAAUCCCUUUGAUUUAACAAAGGUUUAACCUCACAAAGAUAAUCCUCUAAUUCCUAUGGGCAAACUCAUCUUAAAUAGGAAUGCUGUCAAUUAUUUUGCUAAGAUAGAGCAGCUGGCCUUUGACCAAACAACAUGCCAUCAGGUAUUGAAUCUCUCUUUGAUAAAAUACCACAGGUAAGUCUGGAGACUCUUCAUAUUGCUCAGACACAGAUUCAUAUCAGUCUGCCUUAUUUUAUAUAUAAUGCUGGCUGUUCAUAUCAUUCUUGUCUUGCUCAUCACUCCUUCAUGGCCUUUCCUCUUUACAGAACUGUAUAGACCAUUGUAGGGGCAGAUCCUCCUCUGGUGUAAAUAAUUACAGAUGCAUUUUAUGACGCUUCACUAUCAUAUACCUCAUUGCAUCCACAGAUCAAUAAUUAGAUGUUGUAGAGCACAACCCUGCACUAUGAUGUUAGUGGCAAAGCUUUAAUUGAUGGCAUGUGUGCAAAAUCAAAUGCCAUUCUUCCUAAUUGGACCCCAAAUCUUUUUGGAAUCUAAAUAGAUCCCGUAAAAGUUAUUUUAAGACACUACCAGACUUACUAACAAUAAUCUGCAUAGGGGUAAUAUUUAUAAACUAUGCUAUCUCAAAUAUAUGUGAGAACAUGUAUAAUCCAUUUAUGAAUGAUUGAAAGAAUCUCACACUUCUGAGCACAGCUUCACAUUGUACACUUCUUGUACUAAGUACAGAAAUAUGACUUCCUUUCUCCUGAACCAUCAUUCUGAACUUCUUCUACUUUUUGCUGAUACCUCCAUUUUAUAAUUUACACCAAUCAGUCUGUACUCCACAUCCUUAAAACUAUAAUUACUAGGAUUUUGAGACUCAUAUUGCUCUCUAAGUUUCAGUGGUAGAAAACUUGUUCAAUUAAUUACAUAGCUGUGAUAUGCUCUGUUGAAACAUACCACAGGGAAGGUAUAUGAUAGUGAGUUAUGAGAUUAGCGUAGUCUAUAGUGUAUAGUUCAGAUGAUCAUUGCAUAGUCUACAAAAAGUCUUUUCAUUUCAAAACAAAAAUUUUUAUAUCUUUUUCUUUAUUGAUAGAUUCUUGAUUUGUUAACUUCUUCAUGUCAACUUCAAUCCCAUAAGGAAGCAAACUCAGUUUCUGGUACUGUGCAAGAUGCAUUUGGUGCUACUCCAAAGACCCCUUUACAAAUAUAGGCUAAAAUAUUCAGCCUAAAGUUCAGCUCCAUAAUACUUAAUUAGGUAUUGAAAUAAAAGGGAUCAGAAAUGCUGGACACCCACAAAUCCUGUUAAACUCAGUGGAAGUUGUUUUUCUUUAAGAGUCUAAAUAUGGAUUUAGGAGCCUAAAUUUAAACACCCUCAUAUGAAAACAUCAAUGUGGAACUGUGAAUUAAAAAAGGAUAUAUGUAUUAUAAAGACUGAUAACAUGAAGUUCAGGAUAUAUGGGCAUUUUGACUGUUUGUAUCUAUGAGGGGAUUAAAGAAUAUUAAAUUCCAUGCUGGAAAUGGUGCACUGUUUCACACAACUGUGUUUAGUGUGAUGACUGACUUAAAGGGUAACCAUCAGAAAUAUGAGCAAUAGGAACAUACAAAAAUGUUGAAUAUACAUGUCAGUGUUGCCUUUUCUCACAUCCUAAUGCUCACUGACACCUACUACCAACUGCCUGCAAAUACCUGUGAAUUGUCCCUACAGAACUCAUGGCCAGAGAUGGACCUAUGAGAGAUGGACCUAUGACCGUGUCUGACAUCCAAGGUAUCCUUGAUAAUGCUUUGUAAUAUAAUGCUAAUGUCUGUACACAUAAUGCAAAUGCAAGGAUUUCUUUUAUAUACUUGCAGAUCAAUUUAGUUAAGUGCAGGACAAAAUCAGGCCAGGAUUAACCGACAUUCUACUACAUUUACCUUUUCUUGUAAAUAAUGACCUUUUGUAAUUUUUCUAAUAUAAAAGUCAUAAAGUUUUAUGGAAUAGCUGCAGUUUAAUAAGGAUAUUUACUAAAAAUUCUAACUUACGGAACUAAAAUACACAGCCGCACCCAUGCUCCA